UGCGUAGGCGGACUAAUAAGUCAGUGGUGAAAUCUCUCGGCUCAACCGGGAAACUGCCAUUGAUACUGUUAGUCUUGAGUUCGGUUGAGGUAGGCGGAAUGUGUAAUGUAGCGGUGAAAUGCUUAGAUAUUACACAGAACACCAAUUGCGUAGGCAGCUUACUAGACCGACACUGACGCUGAGGCGCGAAAGCGUGGGUAGCGAACAGGAUUAGAUACCCUGGUAGUCC
rnacentral:rRNA from 1 species